rnacentral:misc_RNA from 1 species
UUUCCGUAGGUGAACCUGCGGAAGGAUCAUUCAUAAUAAGUGUUUUAUGGCACCUUUUUAAAUCCAUAUCCACCUUGUGUGCAAUGUCAGGGUUGGACUCUUUUGAUCAGCCCCAAACAACUACUAUUAUCUCAACACUUUGUCUGAAAAAUAUUAUGAAUAAAUCAAUUCAAAAUACAACUUUCAACAAUGGAUCUCUUGGCUCUC